UCUAUUUUUGUUACACUAAUCUUUUCAUGGAUGGGUCACAUUAAAUCAUGAAUUAGUAAUCUCUUAGGUGGGUGUGGCUUAGUUGAUGUAUUAUGAUCAUCAUAAUAACGUAUGUACGUAUGUACUAUUUGUAUCUAAUUGGUUAAGAAUUUGUUGCAUUGGAUUUAUGUUAUUAGUCUUUUGUAAGUUUACAAUUGUAUUGUAUUUUUUUCUUGGUGUUUCUAAUUUCAGUGAGAAGGGAAUGCAGAGGCGUGUAGCCCUGUGAUUGGUUGAUUUGAUGCAUCAGUGUGGGUUCUGUUAAAACGAAGGAUUUGGUAUUAGGAUGACCUAUAGGGGUAUUGUAUAUUAUAAUUAAGUGGAUCAAGUGUAUACCCAGGUGAUAUUUUUUGUUAAGCAAUUGUCCGUUGCCCGUUGGGCAACACGGAUAUAGCUGUGUACGAGGACAGCCGUGUGCUAGGGCAGGAAGGCGUUGCAGUCAGACAGUAGCCGCAUGCAUAGUGAAGGAAGUGGCAGUAAGAUUUAUGGAUCCAAUUAUUUAUGGCAGAUAGGGGUAUACUGGUGCGAAGUUGGCUGCAGUGUGUUCAUGGCACGGGGUGGGCGGUCAUAUUUGUGUUUUGAAGUCCUUGAAGCAGCAAGUCGUCAAUGAAUAGUAGUCGAGAGCAGCCAUGAAAAGUGUUCUGUUGGCGCAGCGUUUUCCUGAGACGAUCCACCAGUGUCUGCUCUGACUCACCAAGCUGGUGUCGCUCCCACGCAUCAAACACCGCCUGGUCCCAACAUAUCGGGAUUAUUAUUGAAACUGAAUAAUGCGAUUGACGAAAUCAUAGACAUAGGUCACCGACACGGAGGCAGCAUUCAUUCUAAGGAAAGUCAGCAUAAUACCUCCUCAAGUCGCUCCAAUUGGCAAAGACCAGGGAUACAUCUGCUUUACGGGAUCCUGAGUAGGGAUUGAAGAAAUAGGACAAGUUACAGAUAUGUGAUUGUGAUCGGAGAUGCCCAACGGAAAAAAAUAUGGUUACUUCAUAAGGAUGUGUUGUUGAUCUAACAAUGAUCUCUACAUCUCACAGAAGACAGCGCUCAAAUGAUCCAAAUAUAUUUUGCUACAUCUGUGGAAGCUUUAUUUUGAAGACUCAGAGGCGCAACAUUACAAACUUUGUUAAGAGCGUGUAUUUUGCGUACUUCAAAGUACCACUUGGAGGCCAAGACAAGAAUAUGCUAAACUGUUGGCUUCAAGACUGCAAGAAAAUCGAAUGUUGAAACCCCGCACAAGUGUCUCAUUUUAUCGUAACAGGGAAGCAAAACUGCUUAAGUACUUCCAUUCUAGAUGGCCAGCUUAUUUAUUGUACUGAUGUAGAAGGGCUACUUCUCUUUAUGGGACUUCCAGCAUACGAUUCAAGGAAUUGGAGGCUUUUUAUUGACAGUUCCAAAAGAAGUUUGAAAUGUGUUCUGUUACAGAAUGGAAAUAAGUAUGGCCCUAUACCAAUAGGUCAUUCUGUAAACCUUAAAAAAUAUAAUAUCAAAUUUGUUCUAGAGAGGUUGCAAUAUCAUGUUCAUGUGUGGUUAAUUUGUGUCGAUUUGAAAAUUGUUAACUUACUUUUAAGUCAGCAAGGAAGGUACAAAAAAUAUCCGUUUUCUCUGCUACUGGGACAGUAGAGCUACAGCAGAGCAUUGGGUGAAAAAUUAAUGGCCUCAGCGACAGAGUUUGGUAUCUGGCGAUAAGAAUGUCAUCAAUGAUCCUCUAGUGGAUAGUAAGAACAUUGCCUUUCCUCCCUUGCACAUAAAACUUGGAUUGAUGCAGCAUUUCGUCAAAGCUCUUGACCACGGUGGAGAAUUCUUCAACUAUAUUUGUUCAACUUUUCCUGGUCUUUGUGAGGAGAAGAAAAAAAGUUGGAGUAUUUGAUGGACCUCAAAUAAGAAACCUUAUGAGAGAUCCAAAUUUUAACACAUAAAUGAAUGAGACAGAAGAAAGAUCUUGGAAUGCAUUUUGUAAUGCUAUGCAGAAUUUUCUAGGGAAUAAGAAAACAGACAACUUUGAAGAGAUUGUGGAAGAGCUACUAAUGAGCCUGUGAAUGUGAUGUAGAAUGAGUAUCAAUAUUCACUAUUUACACAGCCAUUUGGACAAUUUUCCGGAGAACCUCGGGGAUGUGAGUGAGGAACAAGGGGAGCGUUUUCAUCAGGACAUUAAACAAUGGAAGAACGGUAUCAAGGCCGGUGGGACUGACAUAUGAUUGCGAAUUAUUGCUGGAGCUUGAUGAGAGACAACCCAGUAGCUGUACAUCAGAGAUCGGCCAAGAAAAGAAAGUUCAGAUAACUGCUAUUUGCCAUUGAUCUGUGAUAUGUGUUUUUAUAUUUUCUAUUUUAAUUGUCACUAUAUUUGAUUUGCUAUACAUUGGACUUUGCAAUCUUUGUUAUUCCUUGAUUAAGAAUAUACGAAAUGUAGAAC